rnacentral:rRNA from 1 species
UGGGGAAUCUUGCACAAUGGGGGAAACCCUGAUGCAGCGACGCCGCGUGAGCGAUGAAGCCCCUCGGGGUGUAAAGCUCUUUCGGCAGGGAAGAUUAUGACGGUACCUGCAAAAGCAGCUGCGGCUAACUACGUGCCAGCAGCCGCGGUAAUACGUAGGCAGCAAGCGUUGUUCGGAGUUACUGGGCGUAAAGGGUGCGUAGGCGGCUCGAUAAGUAUGGUGUGAAAUCUCCCGGCUCAACUGGGAGGGUGCGCCGAAUACUGAGAGGCUAGAGUGUGGGAGAGGAAAGUGGAAUUCCUGGUGUAGCGGUGAAAUGCGUAGAUAUCAGGAGGAACACCGGUGGUGUAAACGGCUUUCUGGACCAUAACUGACGCUGAGGCACGAAAGCGUGGGUAGCAAACAGGAUUAGAUACCCUGGUAGUCCACGCCCUAAACGAUGCAUAUUUGGCGUGGGUCAUUCAGUUGAUCCGUGCCGGAGCUAACGCGUUAAAUAUGCCGCCUGGGGAGUACAGUCGCAAGGCUG